UCUUCAAUCACCACACGGGGGAGCUACAGUAUUGCCAGUCCUUCCGUCUGCAAUGCACUCAAAUGCUAGGGAAGGAGGCAACGGGUAGAUUCCCACUUUGCUUCCUGACUUGUGGUUUGCAGGCCAGUGGUACGCAGUGACAGAGUCCAGACAACAGGAAAGAAUAGAGUAACCCCCCAGGAGAGUUGGGACAUUAACUUCUGGGCUGGAGAGCACCAUGAAACAAGUGAUUGUGUUUGCUGACUACCUGCCGAAACGCAUCACUGGCAAGAGGAAAGCUAGACACUUUCUCACUUCAUCCGAAAGAACAAAGCCCCUCAGUGCUUUUCCUCCUUUUAACAGCCAGAGGCCUGUCCAAUGAUAAUAUGUCAGCUGAGGGAUAAGCCCUCAUCAAACAGCCAGGUCUAAGCUGCUGGAAAGCAGGGAGCUGAGGGGCCACCUGCAUGCUUCGCUUCAGACAGAGAUACAGACAUAAAAAGCCACGGUUUUUCAAGGCUGUAACAGUUAGUGUCCUCUACUUAAACUUGUUUUUGUGUUUCGGUAUCUUAUGUCCUGUGACCUCACACUUCUUGAUUCAAGAUUAACACUAUUACAUGGUCCUCUGACCUCGAGUGAAGCCUGGCUGCUACAAUGACUUCUUUAUUUCCACCAUCUGACCGCUGAUCACACAUACCCCACACACAUGAUCCACAUGUCCAAAAGGCAGGGGCUUUAUCUGUCUUCUGUCAUUUUAUUAACAAGUAACAAGCAUGUGAAGUGUUUGUCCUGAACUCCAUCUGAACUCCCAUGAAUUAUGAUAUCCAUCUCACAGUCAACACUAUCUGCUUUCAGCAGAGGAAUAAAGCGAUAGUGUUAGAAAAGAGAAAAACAGCAGCUCUUAUGCUUACCCAGUGAUUAUAUCACACAUCAUGGUGGUUUUACUUAUCAUUACUGGCAGAUUUGAACUUCAGUGGAUCUUUUUUAUGCUUUGUGUUGAAGGGAUGUUAAAUUGGACUUUUAUGGAGGGGAGUUGCAUAUGAAAAAAAAGCUCAAA